rnacentral:rRNA from 1 species
GAUGAACGCUGGCGGCGCGCCUAAUACAUGCAAGUCGAGCGAAUGGAUUAAGAGCUUGCUCUUAUGAAGUUAGCGGCGGACGGGUGAGUAACACGUGGGUAACCUGCCCAUAAGACUGGGAUAACUCCGGGAAACCGGGGCUAAUACCGGAUAACAUUUUGAACCGCAUGGUUCGAAAUUGAAAGGCGGCUUCGGCUGUCACUUAUGGAUGGACCCGCGUCGCAUUAGCUAGUUGGUGAGGUAACGGCUCACCAAGGCAACGAUGCGUAGCCGACCUGGGAGGGUGAUCGGCCACACUGGGACUGGGACACGGGCCAGACUCCUACGGGAGGCAGCAGUAGGGAAUCUUCCGCAAUGGACGAAAGUCUGACGGAGCAACGCCGCGUGAGUGAUGAAGGCUUUCAGGUCGUAAAACUCUGUUGUUAGGGAAGAACAAGUGCUAGUUGAAUAAGCUGGCACCUUGACGGUACCUAACCAGAAAGCCACGGCUAACUACGUGCCAGCCGCCGCUGUAA